AUACGGAGGGGGUUAGCGUUGUUCGGAAUUACUGGGCGUAAAGCGCACGUAGGCGGACUGGAAAGUUGGGGGUGAAAUCCCGGGGCUCAACCCCGGAACUGCCUCCAAAGCUUCCAAUCUAGAGAUCGAGAGAGGUGAGUGGAAUUCCAAGUGUAGAGGUGAAAUUCGUAGAUAUUUGGAGGAACACCGGUGGCGAAGGCGGCUCACUGGCUCGAUACUGACGCUGAGGUGCGAAAGCGUGGGGAGCAAACAGGAUUAGAAACCCUAGUAGUCC
rnacentral:rRNA from 1 species